rnacentral:rRNA from 1 species
GACGAACGCUGGCGGCGUGCUUAACACAUGCAAGUCGAACGGAAAGGCCCUGCUUUUGUGUGGUGCUCGAGGGGCGAACGGGUGAGUAACACGUGAGUAACCUUGCCUGUACUGUGUGAUAACUUCAGGAAACUGGUGCUAAUACCUGAUAGGAGCUCCUGCUGCUUGGUGGGGGUUGGAAAGUUUCGGCGGUUGGGGAUGGACGCGCGGCUUAUUAGCUUGUGGGUGGGGUAGCGGCUAACCAAGGCUUUGGAGGGUAGCCGGCCUGGGAGGGUGAACGGCCACAUUGGGCCUGAGGUAGGGCCCAGAGUGCUACGUGGGGCAGCAGUGGGGAAUAUUGCCCAAUGAGCGGAAGCAUGAUGCAGAAGUGCCGGGUGCGGGAUGACGGCUUUCGGGUUGUAAACGGCUUUAGCCUGUGACGAAGCGUGUGUGACGGUAAUGGGUAAAGAAGCACCGGCUAACUACGUG